rnacentral:rRNA from 1 species
UACGGAGGGUGCAAGCGUUAUCCGGAUUUACUGGGUUUAAAGAGUGUGUAGGCGGGCUGUUAAGUCAGUGGUGAAAAUCUCCGGGCUCACCCGGAAACUGCCAUUGAUACUAAUGGUCUUGAAUUUUGUUGAGGUAGGCGGAAUAAGUCAUGUAGCGGUGAAAUGCAUAGAUAUGACUUAGAACACCAAUUGCGAAGGCAGCUUGCUAAACAAAUAUUGACGCUGAGGCACGAAAGCGUGGGGAUCAAACAGG